rnacentral:misc_RNA from 1 species
GUUAAAAAAAUAAUUAACUGAAAAAUGGUGUAGUUUUUUAUUUGCUACUCUUGAAAAACCUGAUGAAAAUAUUCACCUUAGUAACUGAUCUAGACUUAAAUAGAAAUGAAUGCUCUAAUAUACUUUAACCAAUGGAUAUAAUAUUUUUGAUUACAUUUUUUCUCUCAUUUAGUGCCAUUUUGAAUUUCCCCAUGGCCGAAGUCGUUUUGCGCUCUGCAUUUUGGCUUUCUUUUAUAAAGAUGAUGGAAGAUCAUAAACAGUUGAGUUGCUAUAUGUUGAGGCAGUCACUCUGCUCAACUCAAAUCCAAUCAAUUCAAAUGAUUUUUAAAGAGUUUUUCCCAUGUUUUCAGAAAGGUGGAAGAAUAAGCCACAAUGUUUUUAUCUUGCCUGGGAUCGAACCUUCACGCGAGUCCUAUCUUAGUGCCAUUUUGAAUUUCCCCAUGGCCGAAGUCGUUUUGCGCUCUGCAUUUUGGCUUUCUUUUAUAUGAUGAAAGAUCAUAAACAGUUGAGUUGCUAUAUGUUGAGACAGUCACUCUGCUCAACUCGAAUCCAAUGAAUUUAACGGAUUUUUAAAGAGAAAGGUGGAAGAAUAAGCCACAAUGUUUUUAUCUUGCCUGGGAUCGAACCUUCACGCGAGUCCUAUUUUAGAACUCUACGCUAGAUGAUGGAAUCUUGGAAGUUAUGAAUUUUGUUAGUUGGUUUUCUUGAAAAUGCUAAUAGAAAUUUGCAUCUUAAGUGAUCUGCAACGCAAUUAAAAACAUAACAAUCUGUACCCGGCGACAAGAAAAAAAUUGCACCCUGAAAUUUCAUGCAUUGUUGACUUCUUAUGGACCUCAUGUCAAAUUUUUUUUUUUAAUCAAUUUUAAUCAAAUAUUCAUACUAAAUUUGUUGAUAUAUUCAAAUAAUUGAAAAAAUAAUAUCUUCCUACUGUGCGAACUUUAAUAAGAUUAAAUAUGGACAUAUCCGAGAAUAUGAUUCGUAACCACUCAGAUUGGACCAAUUUAAGCGAGCUGUCUUCAUUCGACCUUUCAAAAGUGGUUUUUAACCGACGUUGAAUAGUUCGAGCCGAAAUUUCAUUUGUAAAACUGCUGCUUCUUUGAUGCUAUCUCAUCAUAAAUUUUAAACGCAUCCUGAGACUUAUUUAAUAAUAACACGAUCUUUCCUUACCCCUUUGCUAAGAUUGUUACCACAAAAUAUUACUUAACAAAAAUGCUGAAUUACAGACGUGGGAACAGAUGUGAUUUAGCGACGACAAAGAUAAAAAUUAGACGAAUCGGAAGUCACAGGCUGGAAAAGUAAAAUAGGUAUGAAAUUCAGAGUGCGGCUUUUUUUGUCGCCGGGCGUAGGAGCUUACAUUGAGCCAAAAAAAUAAAUGACUUGUUGAAUCUCUAUUAUAUAAA